rnacentral:rRNA from 1 species
AACGAACGCUGGCGGCGUGCCUAACACAUGCAAGUCGAACGAGAAAGGGGCUUCGGCUCCGAGUAAAGUGGCGCACGGGUGAGUAACACGUAGGUAACCUGCCUCUAAGAUUGGGAUAACAUGUCGAAAGACGUGCUAAUACCGAAUAAGACCACGGCUUCCUCGGAAGCAGGGGCCAAAGAUAGCCUCUACUUGUAAGCUAUCACUUAGAGAUGGGCCUGCGUACCAUUAGCAGUUGGUAGGGUAAUGGCCUACCAAGGCAAAGAUGGUUAGCUGGUCUGAGAGGAUGAUCAGCCACACUGGAACUGAGACACGGUCCAGACUCCUACGGGAGGCAGCAGUGGGGAAUAUUGCGCAAUGGGCGAAAGCCUGACGCAGCAACGCCGCGUGAGUGAUGAAGGCC